AGUCGAGCGGAAACGAUGGGAGCUUGCUCCCAGGCGUCGAGCGGCGGACGGGUGAGUAACGCGUGGGAAUCUAUCCAGUAGCGGGGGAUAGCCCGGGGAAACUCGGAUUAAUACCGCAUACGCCCUGAGGGGGAAAGCAGGGGAUCUUCGGACCUUGCACUAUUGGAUGAGCCCGCGUCGGAUUAGCUAGUUGGUGGGGUAAAGGCCUACCAAGGCGACGAUCCGUAACUGGUCUGAGAGGAUGAUCAGUCACACUGGAACUGAGACACGGUCCAGACUCCUACGGGAGGCAGCAGUGGGGAAUAUUGCGCAAUGGGCGAAAGCCUGACGCAGCCAUGCCGCGUGUGUGAAGAAGGCCCUAGGGUUGUAAAGCACUUUCAGUAGGGAGGAAAGGUUGCUGGUUAAUACCCAGUAGCUGUGACGUUACCUACAGAAGAAGCACCGGCUAACUCCGUGCCAGCAGCCGCGGUAAUACGGAGGGUGCGAGCGUUAAUCGGAAUGACUGGGCGUAAAGCGCGCGUAGGUGGUUAGUUAAGUUGGAUGUGAAAGCCCUGGGCUCAACCUGGGAACUGCAUCCAAAACUGAUUGACUAGAGUACAGUAGAGGGGGGUAGAAUUUCCGGUGUAGCGGUGAAAUGCGUAGAGAUCGGAAGGAAUACCAGUGGCGAAGGCGGCCCCCUGGACUGAUACUGACACUGAAGUGCGAAAGCGUGGGUAGCAAACAGGAUUAGAUACCCUGGUAGUCCACGCCGUAAACGAUGUCUACUAGCCGCUGGGCAGCUUGACUGUUUAGUGGCG
rnacentral:rRNA from 1 species